UACGUAGGAGGCAAGCGUUGUCCGGAAUUACUGGGCGUAAAGCGCGUGUAGGCGGUCUGAAUAGUCUGCUGUGAAAGCGCCUGGCUUAACCGGGCGAGGUCGGCGGAAACUCUCAGACUGGAGGCCGGUAGAGGGGGGUGGAAUUCCCGGUGUAGUGGUGAAAUGCGUAGAGAUCGGGAGGAACACCUGUGGCGAAGGCGGCCCCCUGGGCCGCGCCUGACGCUGAGACGCGAAGGCUAGGGAGCGAAGCGG
rnacentral:rRNA from 1 species